UACGUAGGGGUGCGAGCGUUGUCCGGAAUUAUUGGGCGUAAAGAAGCUUGUAGGCGGUUUGUCGCGUCUGCUGUGAAAUUCCAGGGCUUAACCCUGGGCUUGCAGUGGGUACGGGCAGACUAGAGUGUGGUAGGGGAGACUGGAAUUCCUGGUGUAGCGGUGAAAUGCGCAGAUAUCAGGAGGAACACCAAUGGCGAAGGCAGCUCGCUGGGACGUGACUGACGCUGAGACGCGAAAGCGUGGGGAGCAAACAGGG
rnacentral:rRNA from 1 species